GAUGAAGAACGCAGCGAAAUGCGAUAAGUAAUGUGAAUUGCAGAAUUCAGUGAAUCAUCGAAUCUUUGAACGCACAUUGCGCCCGCCAGUAUUCUGGCGGGCAUGCCUGUUCGAGCGUCAUUUCAACCAUCAAGCCCCAGGCUUGUGUUGGAGCCCUGCGGCUGCCGCAGCCUCCCAAAACCAGUGGCGGGCUCGCUAUCACACCGAGUGCAGUAGUUUACUCUUCGCUCAGGGCGUGUGGCGGGUGCUAGCCGUAAAACCCCCAACUUCUCAAGGUUGACCUCGGAUCAGGUAGGGAUACCCGCUGAACUUAAGCAUAUCAAUAAGCGGAGGA
rnacentral:misc_RNA from 1 species